AAGAUUUUACAACAAAACAUUAAGCAGCAACCUUACUUGAAAAAGAGAAUUCAAUGGUUCAUCAAAAAAUACCAUGUGUUCAUUGGAACAAACCAUCUCAUAAGAACCAGCUUAGUAUCCAUAAUUUCAUCUUUGAUGAACUCAUUAAGGCAAAACGUACACCAACCCCUUAGAACAAAAGUAUAUACCGACAUCUAGACCAAUCCAAUUACAAGGAGCAAACUCUCAUCCAUUGUAGCUUGUUGUAGAAUUUAAUAUUCUUAACAACCAAAUUCC
rnacentral:lncRNA from 1 species